rnacentral:rRNA from 1 species
UCCUACGGGAGGCAGCAGUAGGGAAUCUUCCACAAUGGACGAAAGUCUGAUGGAGCAACGCCGCGUGAGUGAAGAAGGGUUUCGGCUCGUAAAACUCUGUUGUUAAAGAAGAAUAUAUCUGAGAGUAACUGUUCAGGUAUUGACGGUAUUUAACCAGAAAGCCACGGCUAACUACGUGCCAGCAGCCGCGGUAAU